rnacentral:lncRNA from 1 species
UUGGAUUUCAUCCAAUUACUCAACAUGGCUUAUGUACUUUUCAAAAACUUAGCCCUUGCCAAAAAUCCAUUCUCGGGGAUACCCCGCGAAGGCAUCUUACCAAGACCGCCAAGGCUGUUUAUUGUCACACACACAAACACAUUUCACCUCUGAUAACACAACCGUUCCUCGGCGUUGGUUGAGUCCCAGUUUCACGUGGUGGGCAGCGUGAAGUGUACUCAAAUUCUACCUCGGGAGUUAUCCUACGCGCCUUUCCAAUCGAGGUAAGCUCAAUAAUUUGGAACCG